rnacentral:lncRNA from 13 species
GUUUUUGAGAGCCAAGCAAUGACAAUUCAAUCCUGGGACAGAAAACGAAAAAAGAAUCAGUAUUAAAACAACCAAAGGAAAGCACAAGCUGCUAGUGGCCACCUGACCACACUGAGGGAAGAAGCUGCCUGAGAACAAAGCCAACAUGAGGAAGCAGGACCGGGAUCGAGAGAGCCAAUCCCAGUGAUACUGGAUCUUGCCUAACGUAUUGCCGAGACUUUACAGUUGCGAAAAAAGAAAAAAGGGAAUCCCCUUCAGAGAUUUCUGAGGAAAAGUUAGAUGAGAAAUCCAAGGCAAUUCCUGCAAUUUGUACGGAAUCAUUGGCAGUACUGGAGCAGAGAGAGACUGUGAGAGACGGAGAGCUGAGAGGACUUGGGGACCAGAGGAAGUUUGUGGUUAUGCUUCAUUUGAACAGGAAAAUUGUACAAAGAGUACAGGUCUGUUGAUCACUGAAGCCUUACCCACCUGGAGGAAGACUGGAAAUAUGAUCUGGAACCUCAACAGUAAAUGACCUGCUUUCCCUGCAUCAAGGGCACCUGGAAUCCAAAUUAAAAUGCAGAGGAAAGUAAAGCUCUUAUGUAAACUCUGCUUUUCACAUUUUUCCCCACUGAUUCUCCUUUGACCUGUGCUGGCCAGUAAUAUGGCCCAAGAGAGCACCAGUUUCCUGCAAGGUCACUAACCACCAGGCCCAGCUCCAAUUCCAGAGGGUUCUAGGGUGGCCAGCCACUGAGAAGUUUCCCUAGACUUUUAGUGCUAAAACGGGGAAAGCCCUUUACGAAGUGGGAUUGGUCUGCCUGUUCUCAGCCAAAUAGUCUUUGGCAGUAAUCUUUCCCAGUAAAAGCACAGAGUCGGAGUAGCAGAACCUCCUUUCCUAUGAUUCCUGCUUCACCAGCUGGAGCCUGGCUAAGACUCAGUGACUGGUGAGGAGUCUGGCUCCUCUCCUUUCUGCCUCCUCCCCUUCAGUACCUCGAAGCUCCCCACCUAAAGCUUCCUUUUUCCAUCUCUGUGCCCCUCUAAGUCUUGGUCACAACUGUCCCACUUUGGUUUACUAUUUCGGUCAUCGUGCCUCAUUAGUAUCUCGUUAUAAUGAGGAGAGCCACCUAAAGACCUUAUCUCCUUGCAGUAGGGAUAUAAGGCAGCACAGUCAGAUGCUCCCUAAGGUGGGCUGAUAUAUGUAUCUUCUCACAGUAACCCCUGUGUGACCAAUGGGGCCAAAAGUCCUCCUGGUUUGAAAGAGCUCCUUCCAGACCCACCUUGCUGUCUCACAGCUUCCUGAACCCACCCUUCCACAUGGACACAGAGAAAUACUUUGCUAUGUUCUACCAACAGAUGCUUACUGAGUAGAGAAAACACAGUGCACAUCUAUAUCAACUUCUCUCUAUCCAUUUCUUUCUCUCUUGCUGUAGCAAGUCUCUCAGAAGACGGCAGUAACAGAGACUUGUGGCCAGAGCAAGCUUUUGAUAGGACAAGUCGCAGCUCUUCAGUAAACAAGAAAAAGAAUCUUAAAGAAUAAUGAAAGUUGCUGGAGGGAAAAUGGUUUAGACAGGCUCAGAUUCCCAAGACUGCUUCGCCUGUUUGGAGGUGAAAACAUCAAAGGGACAAGAAAGAUGACUUUACAUGAAAAGAACUGAUAUUCUGAACUUCUUCUUUCAUGACAACUUGUGGCAUGCUCUUUCAGCCAUGCAUAAUACUUUGACAAGCUCGAUAACGUUCAAGUGGUUUAUGAUUAAAUUGCUGUACUUGAAAUAGUAAGAUUUUAUCUAUGUUCUGAGCUUAAUAACUCUUUGGUUAGUUAAAAUAUUUUCAUUCCUGAAACUUUAAAAACCUGAAUUAUUAUAAAAGAUACAAGAGGCAAAAAAAAAAAGAUUAAGUUUGCACUUUGGAGAAAUUGUUUCACAUCUCUGAUGGUUAAUAUUAUCAACUUCAUUGGAAUGAAAGACACAGAGUAUUGUUCCUGGGUAUGUCUGUGAGGGUGUUGCCGAAGGAGAUUAACAUUUGAGUCAGUGGACUAGGAGAGGCAGACUCACCCUCAAUCUAUGGGGGGGUACCAUCCAAUCAGCUGCCAGCACGGCUAGAAUAAAAGCAGGCAGAAGAACGUGGAAGGAUUGAAC